rnacentral:rRNA from 1 species
CCAGACUCCUACGGGAGGCAGCAGUGGGGAAUAUUGCACAAUGGGGGAAACCCUGAUGCAGCAACGCCGCGUGAAGGAAGACGGUUUUCGGAUUGUAAACUUCUGUUCUUAGUGAAGAAGUAUGACGGUAGCUAAGGAGCAAGCCACGGCUAACUACGUGCCAGCAGCCGCGGUAAUACGUAGGUGGCAAGCGUUAUCCGGAUUUACUGGGUGUAAAGGGAGCGUAGACGGUGAUGCAAGUCAGAAGUGAAAGCCCGGGGCUCAACGCCGGGACUGCUUUUGAAACUGUGUAACUGGAGUGCAGGAGAGGUAAGCGGAAUUCCUGGUGUAGCGGUGAAAUGCGUAGAUAUCAGGAGGAACACCAGUGGCGAAGGCGGCUUACUGGGCUGUAACUGACGUUGAGGCUCGAAAGCGUGGGGAGCAAACAGGAUUAGAUACCCUCGUAU